AGACGGAGUCAUCUCACUGUUGCCAAGACUAGAGUGCAGUGGCGCGAUCUCGGCUCACUGCAAGCUCUGCCUCCCGGGUUCAUGCGAUUCUCCUGCCUCAGCAUCCCGAGUAGCUGGGACCACAGGCGCCCACCACCAUGCCCGGCUAAUUUUUUGUAUUUUUAGUAGAGGCGGGGUUUCUCCGUGUUAGCCAAGAUGGUCUCGAUCUCCUGACCUCGUGAUCCACCCACUUCAACCUCCCAAAGUGCUGGGAUUACAGGCAUGAGCCACCGUGCCCAGCCACAUUUAUUGAUUUUCAUAUGUUGAAUCAGCCUUGCAUCCUGGGGAUGAAGCCUCCUUUAUCAUGGUGGAUUAGCUUUUUGAUGUGCUAUUGGAUUUGAUUUGCACGUAUUUUGUUGAGGAUUUUUGCAUCAAUGUUCAUCAAAGAUAUUGGCCUGAAGUUUUCUUUUUUUGCUGUUUCUCUGUCAGAUUUUAGAUCAAGGUGAUGCUGGCCCCAUAGAAUGAGUUGGGGAGAAGUCCUUCCUCCUCAAUUUUUUGGAAUAGUUUCUGCAGGAAUGGUACCAGCUCUUUUUUGUACAUCUGGUAGAAUUUGGCUGUGUCUCCAUCAGGUCCUGGGCUUUUUUUGGUUGGUAGGCUAUUUAUUAGUGAUUCAGUUUUGGAGCUCGUUAAUGGUCUGUUCAGGGAAUCUGUGUCUUUCUGGCUCCGUCUUGGGAGGGUACAUGUGUCCAGGAAUAUAUCCAUCACAUCUAGGUUUUCUAGUUUGUUUGCGUAGAGGUGUUCAUAGUAGUUUCUGAUGCUUGUUUUUGUUUCUGUGGGGUCAGUAGUAACAUUCCCUUAGUAACUGCUAAUUGUGUUUAUUUGGAUCUUCUCUUUUUUCUUCUUAAUUAGCCUAGCUAGUGGCCUAUUUUAUUAUUUUUUUCAAAAAAUCAACUCCUUAGUUUGUUGAGCUUUUGAAUGGUUUUUUGUGUUUUGAUUUCCUUCAGUUCAGCUCUAAUUUUUGUUAUUGCUUGUCUUCUAGCUUUGGGGUUGAUUUGCUCUUGUUUCUCUCAUUCUUUCAGUUGUGAAGUUAGGUUGUUAAUUUGGGAUGUUUCUAGUUUUUUGAUGUGGACAUUUAAUGCUUUGAAUUUCCAUUUUAACAUUGCUUUAGCCAUGUCCCAGUGAUUCUGGUAUGUUCUAUCUUUGUUCUCAUUAUUUUCAAGGAACUUCUUGAUCUCUGCCUUAAUUUGAUUAUUUACCCAGAAGUCAUUUGGGAGCAUGUUGUUUAAUUUUAUGUAUUUGUAUGGUUUUGAGCGAUUUUCAUUGUGUUGACUUAUAUUUUUAUUGUGCUGUGGUCCAAGAGACACUCUGACUUUUUGAGUUGCCAUAGUCCUUCCACGGGUUCUUCAUCUUUGUGGCCUGAUGUUCCUUUAAUCUUUGUUGUUGCUGUCUUUUGGAUGGGCCUUUUUGCUUUUAUACUCUUUGAUGCCUUUGAGGGUUUGACUGUUCUUUAAGUUGGUUUCAGUCAGCUGUCUUCAUUUCUGGAUGAUUUCAGGGGACCAAGGUUCAGCUCAGCACUCCUGGGCUGCAUGCUCUAACCCUGAAGGGUUGUGUCCAGGCUCACAGCUUUGUUCUCUGGCCCCUUGAGGUUAAGCACCUGCUGUGCUGGAGGAGUUGAGGUGUUCCCAGUUCACUGGUAGCAACACUCAUGGAGGGUGCUGACAGAAUCCCUUCAUUAAGCCAGCGGCAGAGGGAUCUGUGUUCGUGUGUGUGUGUGUGUACCAGCGGUGGGGUGGGGUGGUGGGGGGGAGGGCUUUAUGUCAAAGCAGUGGAGGGAGGUUGUGGGCAUGUGCAUUCUGGCAAAGCAGUUGGGGGAGGCUGUGGGCGGGUGUGUGCUGAUGGGGGCCUGUAUUAGUCUGUUUUCAUGCUGCUGAUAAAGACAUACCUGAGACUGGGCAAUUUACUAAAGAAAGAGGUUUAAUGGUCUUACAGUUACAUGUGGCUGGGGAGGCCCCACAAUAAUGGUGGAAGGCAAGGAGGAGCAAGUCAUGUCUUACAUGGGUGGCAGCAGGCAAAGAGAGAGAUUGCGUGGGGAAACUCCCAUUUUUAAAACCAUCAGAUCUUGUGAGACUUAUUCACUAUCAUGAGAACAACAUGGGAAAGACAUGCUCCCAUGAUUCAAUUACCUCCCACUGGGUCCCUUCCACAACACAUGGGAAUUCAAGAUGAGAUUUGGGUGGGGACAUAGCCAAACCAUAUCAGAGCCCAUCUGCAGAAGUUCUUCGAUGGUUAGGUGACAUCUGCCAGCUGAUGAACUGUGGGGGUGGCCAUUGGAAAGUGCCCUUGUUGGAUAUCUGAGACUAUGCUGCAAGCUUAUGUGGCCAGGCAGUGACUGGUAGAGGCUGGUAGAGGCUGGCAGACGGGGUGGGAAUGCUCAGAUCAGACUGGCUGUGUCCCCCAGGCAAGUUAGCCCUGUUCUGUCCAGGCCUGACAGUCAGUAUAUGCUAAAGCCGCGUAGAGGAGCAUGAUGAGCUUUGGGGGAUAGCCGUCCCUGGCUGUGCUCCACUGUAGCCGUUUCCGCACCAGAGCCUCUGGGCUCUGCACAGGCUGGAGUCCUGUCCCUGCCACUUCUCCAAGCAGCUCUCCCUGCCAGCUCAAGUGUCCAUGGGGGUCAUUGAGUCUCCUGUAGCUAGCAUUCUGGAGGUCCAUGGUGAGAGUAGGCCAUUCCACGCCUGUUUAACUCACUCCUUCUCUGGGAGCCACUCAAGGCCAGAAAUGAAUCCUGGUGCUCAGUAACCCUGUGUUGAGUUCCCAGCUUCCUCCUCCUUCAGCCCAGGGUCUGCGUCCUUUCUCUGUUCACUCUCAAUGCCUUCCUCCCAAAGAUUUGCUUGAAGUUUACUGGUGAUCUUGAUGGUCUGUUCUCUCGAUGGGAGAAGCUCUUCCUCCCUCCUUUUAGCUGGCCAUCGUGGCUCUUCUUUCUCUGUAUAUUUAUUUAAUCAUCGUCUAGAUUGAUAAUGGACCAAGCUUUGCUUUGCUUAGAAGUUAAAGAGGUGCUAACAAGACUAAGACUGUGGAUUUGGGCCCUUGUAAGGCCCUUUAAUGGCUCUUUAUAGGGAUGAUUAUAACCACCAGUGUAACUACUAGCUACUUGGGAUAUAGCUAGUAUUCCUAUUCCCUGCCAAUCUUAUUGCCAUCAUAUGUAAUCAAGUAUAAGAAAACAGUAGAAAAGAUACUUGUAGCUCAGGAGACACACUAUUUGUAUUAAAAAAGAACAGUUCAGAGUAAAUAUCCAAGUUAAUGAAGGCAUACAAGUGAUACCCCUUUCCUCUACAAAGCAUAGCUUAGUUUUAUGUGCUUGUAUAAAAUGUGGAGCAAGCUACAAUUGUGACCAAGAGUAUAAUCUAAGAUGAGGCAAGUAAAAAAUGUGAAAAGAUUGAUGGUUAGAUUAGAUGCUCUCUUGAUUUGAAUUACCCAUUCUUCUUGAUAUCAUCAUUUUUGCCUGUACUAUGGAAAUGACUCUGGAAUUAAGUAGUUUGGAAUUUUGUUAAUAAUCUUGAUCCAUUUGGUUUAAUACACUCUGCUGUAAUUGGAAUACUUUGAUUAAAUGGUCAUAUCUGAGAAUUGAUGGGAAGAAAGGUCAGAUCAGGCUGGUAGAGGAUGUUGGGAUAGAAAAGAAAGGAUUUCUUUCAGUAGGGAUUGGCUGAACGGGGAUAAGACUCUGGUCUCAGAAGAGAUGGAGAGCGGGAGAGAUAAAUGAGCAGGGAAAGGCCUAAGGUCUAGAUAAGGGAAAAAAAACAGAUUCUCAGUUAUUCGAAUCAGUAAUAGAUGUAUACCUAGUGAUAAGGCAAUCUAGACUUCAUAUUUGAGGAUAUUAACCUUCUGGUUGGGUGUCUACUACGAAGGUAAGACUUUAGUAUAAUGUUUUGUAUUAUGAUAGAUGGAAGUAUGUAUAGGAUACUAUGGGAGUGUUGUAAAGCUUUUCCUGGAGUUGGAGAAAAUUAUCCCUAAGUUGAGAACUUAAGGAUGGAUCAUUUAAAAUAAAGCAGAAAGACAUUCUAGAUAGAAGAAAUAGCUAUUAGCAGUCUAAUGUUUGUAAAAACUAAAAGGAAUUUGCAAUUAGUAGAGGAAAAAAUUUGAUUGUAGUGAGAGAUGGAGUUGAAGAAGGAAAUAGGAGCCAUGUCAUGGCUAUCUGUGUGUGCAUAAGCGGUGGGCAGAGAAGGCUUGUAUAGUUUGCUGAGGAGCUUGGACUUGCCUCUGUAAGCAGUAGGAACUAUUGAAUGGUUACUCUUAUCUCGAUUUAGUAAAAAACAUAAUCUUGCCCAAACAGAAGUCUGGCCUUUGCCCUCACUUUACGGAUGAUAAUGCCUUGGGCCACACUAAUGGUAUGAUUGAGGAUCAGGGCUGGCUGUGUCUAUUACAGUCUUUGGGUGGGGGCUGCCCAUGCCAGAAAUACUAACUAUGUGACUUAGGGUGGGGCUUUUGGUCAAGUGAUAUCAGUUAACCUGGAGGCUGACCUCAACCAUGUGGGCAGUCAAUUAGUCAUUCAUGCCUAAGUAACAGAGUCCCAAGAAAAACUCUGAACACUCUGUCUUCUGUGAGCCUUCCUAGUUGGCCAUACUCUGUGUGUAUUGUUAAACAGAAAGCAGGAGAAUGACGUGAUCAUGACGUCAUGGGGAGAGGACAAUGGCAGUUCCAUGUUUGGUACCCUCCUAGUCUCUGUCUUAUGUGCACCUUUUCUUUGCUCCUGUUAAUCUAUAUCCUUUCCCUGUAAUAAACUGUAACUGGGAAUAUAAUAGCUUUCAGUGAGUUCUGUGAGUCUUUCCAGCAAAUUAUGGAAACUGAGAAUGGUUUUGGGAAUCCUCUGAACUUACAAUGGUGUGAGAAGUGGGGUAGUUUCUUUUGUGGACUGUUCUGUCUGUCUCUCUAGGUGCAAAAAACCCUUUGCAUCAUCUUUCUCUGCUUCUUUCUUUCUCUAAUUUGGGACAAAAUUGGCUUUUCUAUUUGAAAGCAGGGAUAAACAUACCACAUUGUUGAAGUAAUGCAUCUUCUAAGAUGAGAGGAUAUUGGGGAAAAUAUCAAGACUAUUAUAAUACGAAUGUCCCUAAACAUAUUACAGUCCCCUGAUACUUUCCUUUCUAAUUGCUAUUGACUGAAUUAUGUCCCUCCAAUUUGUAUGUUGAAACCCUAACCCCAAUAUGAUUGCAUUUGGAGUAAGCAAGUAAUUAAGGUUAAAUGAGGUCAUAGGAUGGGACCUUGGUCCCAUAGGAUUAGUGUCUUCGUAAGAAGAGACACCAGAGAGGCCAUUCUCCUGGUCACUUUCUCUUUACCAUGUAAGGACAUGGUGAGAAAGCAAAAAUCUGCAAACCAGGAAAAGAGCGCUUAUCAGAAACCAACCAACCCUGCUGGACCUUGAUGUAGGACUUCUAGCCUCAAGAGCUGUGAGAAAAUAAAUUUAUCUUGUUUAAGCAACCCAGUCUAUGCAGUUUUGUUAUGGCAGCCUGACUAGACUAAUACAAAUUGUAAUACCAUGAAUUGGGAUGUUGCUCUACCAAAUACCUUAAAAUGUACAUGUGGCUUUGGAACUGGAAAAUAGAGAGGGCCUGGAGAACAGAGUGUCAAACCAAAGGAGAUUAUUCUUGAACCUUAAUGAUGGAGUGGAAUUUGCCUUUCUAAGUUUGGCACUGGUUUGGGGCAUCACCCUUUUCUUCCUUCUUUCUAAUAUCUUUCUAAGUCUCCCUUUUGGAAUGGGAAUGUCUAUUGUUUGCCUGUCCCACCGUUGUAUUUUGGAAAUACAUAACUUGUCAGGUUUCACAGGUUUACAGCUGGAGAGGAAUUUUGCUGUAGGGUGAAUCAUACCUCGUUCUUACCCAUACCUAAUUUAGAUGAUAUUUAGAUGAAACUUUGAACAUUAGGCAUUAGAGUUGAUGAUGGAAUCAGUUAAGAAUUUUGGGGCUGUUGGGAUGUAAUGAAUGCAUUUUGCAUGUGAUAAGGACAUGAAUUUUGAGGAGGCCAGUGGCAGAAUGCUAUUGACUGAAUUGAAUUUCCCCAAAAUUUGUAUGUUGAAGCCAUAACCUACAGUGUAACUGUAUUUGGAGUAAGGAAGUCAUUAAGGUUAAAUGAGGUCAUAAAGGUGGGACCCUGAUCCACUAGGAUUAGUGUCCUUAUCAGAAGAGACACCAGAGAGCUCUCCCUUUCUCCAGUAAGAAUGCAGUCUUCUGAAAGGCAGAAAGAGAGCCUUCACCAGAAACUGGUCCUUUUAUAUCUUUUUCUGGAACUUCUAGCCUCCAGACUGUAAGAAAACAAAUUUCUGUUGUUUAACCCACCCUGUGUAUGGUAUUUUGUAUGGCCGCUCAAGCAGAUUAAUGUACUAAUUGAUAGCUAGUCUUUUUUGUUGUUGUUAAUCAGCAGUUAGAUUAUUUGUGAUCUAGUAGAGCACGGUUUCCUAUAUAUUACUUUUAAAGUUGAGUCAUCUGAAAUUUUUUAAAAACUUGAAGAAAUGUAUCAGAAGGACCUCAAUGAAGACUUUUAGAUUAUAUAUCUUAAAUGACUGAGC
rnacentral:lncRNA from 1 species